rnacentral:rRNA from 1 species
GACGAACGCUGGCGGCGCGCCUAAUACAUGCAAGUUGAGCGAUGAAGAUUGGUGCUUGCACCAAUUUGAAGAGCAGCGAACGGGUGAGUAACGCGUGGGGAAUCUGCCUUUGAGCGGGGGACAACAUUUGGAAACGAAUGCUAAUACCGCAUAAUAACUUUAAACAUAAGUUUUAAGUUUGAAAGAUGCAAUUGCAUCACUCAAAGAUGAUCCCGCGUUGUAUUAGCUAGUUGGUGAGGUAAAGGCUCACCAAGGCGAUGAUACAUAGCCGACCUGAGAGGGUGAUCGGCCACAUUGGGACUGAGACACGGCCCAAACUCCUACGGGAGGCAGCAGUAGGGAAUCUUCGGCAAUAGACGAAAGUCUGACCGAGCAACGCCGCGUGAGUGAAGAAGGUUUUCGGAUCGUAAAACUCUGUUGGUAGAGAAGAACGUUGGUGAGAGUGGAAAGCUCAUCAAGUGACGGUAACUACCCAGAGAGGGACGGCUAACUACGUG